UACGUAGGGUGCAGGCGUUAAUCGGAAUUACUGGGCGUAAAGCGUGCGUAGACGGUUAUUUAAGUCGGGUGUGAAAGCCCCGGGCUCAACCUGGGAAUUGCAUUCGAGACUGAAUAGCUAGGGUGCGGAAGAGGGAAGCGGAAUUUCCGGUGUAGCGGUGAAAUGCGUAGAUAUCGGAAGGAACACCAGUGGCGAAAGCGGCUUCCUGGUCCAGCACCGACGUUCAGGCACGAAAGCGUGGGGAGCAAACAGG
rnacentral:rRNA from 1 species